GUUACCUUUUUUAUACUUCUUACUCUCACUCUCUCUCCAUGUUUCUCUUCUCAAAAGCUUCUUACUACGGUAAUCAUAGAGAAGUAUUAAUAUACAGAGAUAGAAAUAAUGAGAAAAAGAGAGAGAAAGAGCACACGUCUGAACUCGA